AUCCUCCCUUUGGCAGCGUAUAUACUAAAAUUAGAAUGAUAGAGAGAAGAUUACCAUGUGCAAGGAUGACACACACGAAAAUUUGUAAAGCAUUCCAAAUUUUU
rnacentral:snRNA from 1 species